rnacentral:lncRNA from 1 species
AGAUGUAGCUUUAGUGUGCUUAGACUCCUUUCUGAGGGGUACAGAGCUCAGGAUGUGGGGGGCAAGGAGAUGGGUCAAGAAACGGGUCCUGGAUGUUCACGUGGGGCCUCCAGGCAGUGGCCAGGCAUCUAUUAAUGGCUGCCUUGUGUUUUCAUACCUGGGAGAGCUGAAUAAGGAAUUGCAAUACCGAGGCCUCUAACAAUGACAGUGGGAUUCCCACAAGGGUAACAAUAGCUCCUGAAUCUCGCAUUCUCUUUCUCAGCAAGUUCUCUCCUGAAGCACUGCUUCCCUUGAGAACACCAGAUGAAGCACAAGAUUUGAUGUUUACACUCAGAGAGAAAGAUCACUAAGACUGAACUAUUCCAGAUAAUAACCAAGCUGUUGUUGGAUAGGGCUUAAGGGAUUAUAGGGAAGUAUAUGGAAUUUAAUACAUAUAAAAGGAAAAAAACAGUAUCUAUGAUCUUCAGCACUUCUACGUCGCACCUCUGUGGAGUCCUGCUGGUGUUUGAAAAUAGUCAAAUAGGAUGCCCAGCUAUUCAGGAGAGCAACGGUUGGUGGUUAAAAGCAAGGCUUCUGAUUGCCUGGGUCCAAAUCACAGCUCCGCCACUUACCCAGGUGUGUGGUCUUUGUCAAGUUACUUAACUUUCCUGUGCUUUUAUUUCCUAACCUACAAAAUGGGAAUAAUUAUAGAACCUACCUUAUAAGGGUGGUUAGAUAAUUAAAUUAUGUUAACCAAGGUAACUUACACUUAGAACAAUUCUUGCCACAUACAAAGCACUCAGUGUUAAUAUACAACCGUACCUGCAUUUGAAACCAUAGUCAACCAUGAACUGGUUCCAUCCUCUUACUACCAAAUGGUAUCAUUCCAUGGAGUUUCUGAAAGCAUACACUUUCCUCCAUUUCUAUUAUUGUUUCCUUGGUGGGGGAGGAGCAGUCUUCUAAACCCAACUCAUCAAACAGAUUUUACAUAUUUGAUCUAGAAAGUUUGGAAUGUCAGCAUGUUUACUUCUAAUUAUUUGAAUGCAGAUGAUCUCUUAUCCAACCCAGAUAUUUUUUUAAAACUCUCCAGCCAAGUCGACCUUCUCCUAACUGUGACUCCUAGCCUGGAUUCCAAGCUUUCACCCAUGUCAUGUCUAACUAUUGGGACAACUCUCCUAUUUCAUGCAGCACUAAGAGACAAUGCCACUUGAAUGUUUUCUUGUUUCUGCAUGGUCAGAGCCAUUUGAACAAAAAUUACUGGCAACCUGUGUUAAAGGAUGGUUGAUUAGCAAACAAGCCUCAGAAGUGAAAGACAGAGACUUCUGGAGAGAGUUGGAGUUAGAGUUAGAGUUAGGUCUCCCCUCAUAGUCAGCCUCCCUCCUUCCAUUUUUCCCCUGCUCCGUUUGUACAAGGUGGGGAGCAGGUGGAGCUCGCACUCACAAUCCUCUGAUAUUUGUCAAAUUGUGAAGUGGCAUUGUAAGAGAGCCUUGGCUUUAUUAUUUUUUAUUUUCCUCCUUAAAGCCAGGGUCAUGGCGGCUGUCCCAUCAGGGCAAUAGGAUCUCAUGAGAAGAGAUGGAAGAGGGGAGGAGGGAAAGACCAGAGGGCAGAGACAUAUUUUUCUCCACUAAAAGGGCCUGUCUUCUGCUCUGUUCCCCAGGUGUGAGCGCAAAGAUAGGCAGGUGAAUGAGUGGAUGAGAAAACCAGUGAUGGAUGUCUGGCUGGUCUUUGUCCCCCUACCCUCCAGUGGAGAGAGACCCAGGGAAGGGAGAUGAGUGGGACCCUCCCUUAAAGGAAGGGUAGAGGGGCAAGUACUUGGGGAGAAGAGACAAGACUGGAGAAGAAGACAGUGGCUUAUGUUCCAUGGGGAGUAAGGACUUGGAGCGUAUCAUCUGCAGAGCCCCACGGAGGGGGAAGAACUUGCAAGGACCACCCAGGAGGCUGUGUCCUGGGUCAAGGGCCCCCAGCCCAGCCAGGGAGCACAACUUGGCCAGUAAGCGUCAGAACUCGCCUUCAGAUGACCACGGGGUGUGACCCAAUGUGCACAAAAGUCCAGGGCUCUCCCAGGAGCAGUUAGCAAGCGGCAGGGGAGGGGUGCGAGCCCAGAUAUGGCUGAUGCCAACAAAGCCUCUGAAGACGGAUGCUGGGCCUCACCCGACUGCAGAGCAGGGGAGUGAACCUACCGGGAAAGAUGCAGAGUGAACUUCUCAUCACCCUGGCUAAAUGCGACUCACUGUCAGGUAGAUUUUGAUCGGGAAAACAUUCUGAAUUUUGUUGUAGACUGUGAUGGUGUGAAAUGCAUCCCUGCUUCAUGAAUAUACCUCCCAGGCAUAGGCCUGUAAAUAUACGUUAAUAAUUACACUGCUUGUGAGCAGAGCUGCAGUUAUUUCAACAAUGAACAGUCUUAAAUCUCCUUUCUCCUUAAUGCUACAUCAAAGGAGGGUUCCUGCCCAGCCUUUUUCUCUCACCACAUGCAGUGGUUGAGAGUUGGUGGGACCUGUUCACUGUUCAUACCCCUGCUGCUGAGCUACAAGGCGCAGUUGGGAGUUAUGAAGACCUGGAGAAGCAUGACCAGCCCCAAGGAAGGGAGGGGAGCUGAGUUCCCCAGCUGUCCCCUGUUGGAUUGGGAAACAUCCUCUGUCCUCUCUCGGGGGGUUAGCAAAGUCAGGCCCAGCCUUGUGGAACGAGUCAUGGUGCUGUUUUCUCCAGAGCCCUCUUUGUCAUAAAACUCACCAAAUCCUUACUCCUGUCCUUGGAGCCUCGCCACCAAGCAUUUGGAAUUGCACCACAUACAAAUCUGGAGCAGCUCCAGCUCUUUACUAGUUUCGGUUGUUUUAUGAUCAAUACCUCCUGCCUCAGGAUCCACAGGAAAGUUAAAUCCCAUCAGCUCUGUGUUUUUGUAAACUGUGCCUAGCUUCCCUGUGACUUUGAUAUGUCCUCAUAUGGCACAAUGUCUGGGUGUGGUGACCGCUAAGUAAGCCCACAGAAUACCGCAGUGAUGACGGCUCAUACUCCACGCCAAUGACCACACGCAAGGCCUGUUCCCAACGGGCUCGCCUUCGCUGUCCUACGGCCAUCAGGAUCGUAUGGCUGCAACCUCAGUUUUUCACUAAUGGGUUCCCUAAUCCCUAUGUCCCUGGGUGCAACUUCACUUUGAUCUGCCACUUUGUGGAAUGUGAAAGAGGAGAGGAAAGGAAGUGGCUGGGCCCAGGGAUGGGGAUUUAACUACUCCAAUGACUCAGAGAUUUUGAGCUUUUGUGUUUUUUCCACUUGAAACAUCAAGUUCCAGAAAAAGAACAUGCCGCUACUAACAAAGCUACAAUCCAUCAAGUGUCUACAAAGUGACAUGCAUCUCAUAUAUAUUUCUCUUGUAAUCUUCACAAAGGGAGACAGAGAAGCUGAGGCUCUCUCGGGAAGCUGUGUAACUUGCUCAGGGUCGUACCAGAUAGUGGGUGGCAGAGGAGAAGGGCAGGCCCAGAUAUGGUAGGUGCCAAUGUGCAGAACUGCUGUGCUGUGCUGCCUGGUGUUGGCCAGAAUGACCAUGAGAGGCCAAAAUGGUGCCACUGAGGGGAGGAGCGGCACCCAGAGCACAGCAGACCCCCCACCGCUCCAGCCAGCCCCUCCUCAAGCCCGUGCUA